CCUACGGGUGGCAGCAGUGAGGAAUAUUGGUCAAUGGUCGGGAGACUGAACCAGCCAAGCCGCGUGAGGGAGGAAGGUACAGAGUAUCGUAAACCUCUUUUGUCAGGGAACAAAGACUGGGACGCGUCCCCGGAUGAGUGUACCUGAAGAAAAAGCAUCGGCUAACACCGUGCCAGCAGCCGCGGUAAUACGGAGGAUGCGAGCGUUAUCAGGAUUGAUUGGGGUUAAGGGGUGCGGAGGCGGUCUGUUAAGUCAGUGGUAACAGCCCGGGGCUCAACCCCGGCCCGCCGUUGAAACUGGCAGUCUCGAGUUGGAGAGAAGGAUGCGGAAUGCGCGGUGUAGCGGUGAAAUGCGUAGAUAUCGCGCAGAAC
rnacentral:rRNA from 1 species